CGGGUGAGUAAUACAUCGGAACGUGUCUUCUAGUGGGGGAUAACUGCCCGAAAGGGCAGCUAAUACCGCAUGAGACCUGAGGGUGAAAGCGGGGGGAUCGCAAGACCUCGCGCUGGAAGAGCGGCCGAUGUCCGAUUAGCUAGUCGGUGAGGUAAAGGCUCACCAAGGCGACGAUCGGUAGCUGGUCUGAGAGGACGACCAGCCACACUGGGACUGAGACACGGCCCAG
rnacentral:rRNA from 1 species